GACGAACGCUGGCGGCGUGCCUAAUACAUGCAAGUCGAGCGCAGUGGGGACGGUUGAGUAACACGUGGGUAACCUCCCAUCAGAGGGGAUAACACUUGGAAACAGGUGCUAAACCGAUAUUGGUGGAUGGAGCCGCGGUGCAUUAGCUAGUUGGUGGGGUAACGGCUCACCUAGGCAACGAUGCAUAGCCGACCUGAGAGGGUGAUCGGCCACACUGGGACUGAGACACGGCCCAGACUCCUACGGGAGGCAGCAGUAGGGAAUAUUGGGCAAUGGACGCAAGUCUGACGCAGCCAUGCCGCGUGAGUGAAGAAGGUUUUAGGAUCGUAAAGCUCUGUUGGCAGAGAAGCGGUAUCUACACAGGAAGCACCGGCUAACUCCGUGCCAGCAGCCGCGGUAAUUC
rnacentral:rRNA from 1 species